rnacentral:lncRNA from 1 species
AGCUCAGGGCUAAUCUUCCUCACGGAAAAAAAAAAAAGUCCAAGAUUAAAAAUGAAUAGUUUUCACAGUGGAAGGGCCUAGCCAGCCAGAUGAAUAAAGAUUGACACCAAUGUAUGUGAUAAUGAAUGUUCAGAGCACCAAAGAUAAACCGAAGUAUAUAAAGGGUUCAGAGAGAAACAAACCAACUAAAAAUCAACAAAUAAUAAAAAUAGCAUCAUCGAAAAGGAUAAGGGGUAAAAAUGCCAUUGAGCAUCUUGAUAGUAAUGCUAGAAGUCAGAAGCAAUGUGAACAAGGUCUUCAAAAUUGUGAAAGAAAAUUAUUUUUAGCUAGAAUUCUAUCUUGAGUCAAAUUCUAAAUCUAAAAUGAGGGUAGAAUAAAGCCAUAUUCAGAUAUGCAGCAUUUUAAUAAAUUGAUCUUCCAUCCAUUUAUACUGGAAAGCCACUGGGAAAUGUUACAUACCAAAUGUGCUGUAAAUAAGAAAAAAAAAGGACAUAAAUAUCAUGAAACAAUGGAAAUUUGUGAGAGCCAGGAAAUAUUUAAAGAAGGGGCUUUAGAGAAUUCCAUGGAUUAAGGGGUGUGCCAAGAUGCUUGAUGUACAGAAGACAGAGUGGGCAAACAUUCCAAACUCAGAAGGACAGAGGGUUCCACAGCGGAUGCAGAGGCAACAGAGGUAGGGAGAGGGCCAAUGGCUGAUGAUGAUGCGAUGUGCUCAACCCAUGCUGAAGUUUCAGAGCUGCGAAAUGUUGCUACGCUUUUUUCCAAACAACAAAUAUAAUGACUGAGCACUCCUAACAAGGGAAUAUUAAGGAAGUUUCUGAAAGAGAGGAAUAACAAGUAAAAAAAAAAAAGAGCUAUGGAAAAAUAAUCAAGCUUCCUGUGCAGAAGGAAAAAAGUCUACUCAGAGGAAGUACUGAGUAGUAAAUUAUAAAACAAUUGUCAUAGCAUACUCUGGCUUGAUGUGGGCUGGUGUUAAAUACAAUGACCCACUUAAAAGAGACAGUUGGUAUCUCAUCAUCCAGGACCUGUCCACAUGGACCUCUCCAUUUACAGAGUAGUCUGGAUUUCCUGCAUGACGUUUCAAAGCUCCAAGAGUGAAGAAAAGGAAGCUACUUUAAUGCUUUCCUUAAUGCCUGGACUCAGAACUUCUAAAACACCACUUCUUCUGCAUUCUAUUUGUCCAGUUAGUCACAAUUCUAGCCUGGAUUAAAGUGGAAAGAUAUAUGUUCCACCUCCUGUAUCACUGGCAAACUGCAGGGGGCAGAAGUUUUGAGACUCUCCACCCUCUGGCUGUAAUAAUUUAUUUCCUUUCAUGCACCGAAAAAUACCCAUUCCCUUACUAGACUCCCAAAAGUAUCACCCCUUUACAUUAUCAGCUUGAAUUGUACCAUUCUCUGCUCUAAAUCAGGACCAUUGCGGAUGAGCCUCCUCUGGUGUGAUUUCUCAGGUUCAUCUCCUUGGAAAUUACUCCUUUUGAGCUGAGGACCUUUGAAAUAGAGACAAGUUUUCUGUACUCCAUUAACCCAACAUACAAUAGUGAUCAAGGACAGAGAAUCUGUAGUUGGUUCUCAUUCAAAUAAGGGGAAGAGAGGAAUAAAUAGCUCAUAGCAAUUUUAAUAUCCAGCUGGGUGCACAUAUCUAGUUUCUGGAUUGCAGCUUCCAGAUCCAUUGAAGUGGCUCCCCAUAGAUGUUAGCUCCACUCUCCCGGAUGUUAAUUAGCCCUCUGAGUUAAUCUCACUUUUGUAUAAGAAACGACUCAUGAUUGUAGCUUGGUAGCUUUUUCAGCCUGCAUCCUUCUUAUGGAUUUUGAGGACCCAGGGAGAUUCCUUUUAUUAUGAAUUACAUUUGUUUCUUUCAGUCCAUUGUGACACAAUUCCUUU